rnacentral:sRNA from 1 species
UUUUAAUUACGCAAGAGCGUUAACGAUUGAAGCGACAUCCUUUUUUGCAAUUUCAGCAAAAAAGAUAUAGCGCAAAGCGUGUCAAAAC